AAAUGCGAUAAGUAGUGUGAAUUGCAGAAUUCAGUGAAUCAUCGAAUCUUUGAACGCACAUUGCGCCCGCCAGUAUUCUGGCGGGCAUGCCUGUCCGAGCGUCAUUUCAACCAUCAAGCCCCCGGGCUUGUGUUGGGGACCUGCGGCUGCCCGCAGGCCCUGAAAACCAGUGGCGGGCUCGCUGUCACACCGAGCGUAGUAGCAAUCACCUCGCUCAGGGCGUGCUGCGGGUUCCGGCCGUUAAACAGCCUUACAAAACCCAAGGUUGACCUCGGAUCAGGUAGGAAGACCCGCUGAACUUAAGC
rnacentral:misc_RNA from 1 species